GGGUUGUUUAAUCUGAGAGGGUCUGAUAUAGACUACAACCCUUUCUUCUUGGCUUACUCCAUUGUGGAGUCAUCCAGAAUCAGGCUGUAUAUACUGGACAAAGAAAGGCGGCUAGCAGCCAAGCCCGUGGACAAAGAGAGUCAAACUAAAUUGUACCAACACUUGGGAACAAGUAUGUCAGGACAGUGUAAUGGUACAACCUCAGAUCUUUGUGUGCAGAUACUUGACUACAACCAAACUAAGAUAGAAGAAGAUUUACAAGAGUUAUCAAAUAAAACAAAGGUAUGGGUGACACCACAGACCAAUGCAGGCAUCUUACUCUCUGUACAGGUUGGUCUUCUAUUAUCUUGGUAUU
rnacentral:sRNA from 1 species